ACUCUGUCACAUAAUCUCCAGUCAGUCUGUAGGCCAGUGUUGGGUCAGUACCAGGCUGUUUCCAGUAGAAAUGAGGAGGGCCCGGUAUUCCUCUGUGGGCAUCUGGCCCAGUCGCUUCUGUUGACCGAGGGAGCCGCAGUACCGCGUGGAGGAGCCAGGGGGCAGCAGAGAGACGCAGGGGGAGGUGAGGUGGAAGGAGGAGGAUGAAGGAAGUGGAGGUGGGAAUAGGUUGGCAAUGAGGAAAAGAGUGAGUGAAAGACAAGAGAGAUGCAUGAGGAGACAUGCAGCAGAGAGGUGUCGAUGAGAGAUGGGAACAGAGAAAGAAGAGAUAGAAGAGAAACCAGUUAGCGGAGACGCAGAGGGCAAAGUAACCCCCUUAUAGUGAAGGGAGGAAGCCAGAGAGCUGCUAGGUGGAGGUCAGGUGAGAGGCCAGGUAAGAGACCUCUAGUGGAUCAA